rnacentral:tRNA from 3 species
GUCUCAGUAGCUCAGCUGGAUAGAGCAAUGCCCUUCUAAGGCAUCGGUCGGGGGUUCGAAUCCCUCCUGGGACGUCA